rnacentral:rRNA from 1 species
UACGAAGGGUGCAACGUUGCUCGGAAUUAUUGGGCGUAAAGCGCACGUAGGCGGCUUUGCAAGUCGGAUGUGAAAUCCCUCGGCUCAACCAAGGAAGUGCAUCCGAAACUGCAGAGCUUGAGUACCAAAGAGGAUCGCGGAAUUCCCGGUGUAGAGGUGAAAUUCGUAGAUAUCAAGAAGGACACCUGAGGCGAAGGCGGGAUUGCUAGGCUGACACUGACGCUGAGUGCGCGAAAGCCAGGGGAGCAAACGGG